CAGCGCCACGAGUGGUAACCGCGAUUAUUGGGCCUAAAGCGUCCGUAGCAGGUUUAGCAAAUCUUUUGUGAAAUGGUGCGGCUUAACCGUACUACGUGCAAGAGACACUACUAAACUCGAGACCGGGAGGAGUCAGAAGUAUUCCAGGGGGAGCGGUAAAAUGUUAUAAUCCCUGGAGGACUACCUAUGGCGAAGGCAUCUGACCAGAACGGAUCUGACUGUGAGGGACGAAAGCCAGGGGAGCGAACCGGAUUAGAUACCCGAGUAGUCC
rnacentral:rRNA from 1 species